rnacentral:rRNA from 1 species
CAAUCUGCCUUGGAGUGGGGAAUAACGGCUGGAAACAGCCGCUAAUACCGCAUGAUACAGUUGGGAGGCAUCUCUCUGACUGUCAAAGAUUUAUCGCUCUGAGAUGAGCUCGCGUCUGAUUAGCUGGUUGGCGGGGUAACGGCCCACCAAGGCGACGAUCAGUAGCCGGACUGAGAGGUUGGCCGGCCACAUUGGGACUGAGACACGGCCCAGACUCCUACGGGAGGCAGCAG